rnacentral:tRNA from 1 species
UUUGGGGUAGCUUAAUUUAUAAAGUUUAAGAUUCUUACUCUUAGGAUGUUGUUGAACUCUCAAAA